ACAUGCAAGUCACAUGCAAGUCGAACGGAAAGGCCUCUUCGGAGGUACUCGAGUGGCGAACGGGUGAGUAACACGUGGGCAAUCUGCCCUGCACUUCGGGAUAAGCCUGGGAAACUGGGUCUAAUACCGGAUAGGACCUCAAGACGCAUGUCUUCUGGUGGAAAGCUUUUGCGGUGUGGGAUGGGCCCGCGGCCUAUCAGCUUGUUGGUGGGGUGACGGCCUACCAAGGCGACGACGGGUAGCCGGCCUGAGAGGGUGUCCGGCCACACUGGGACUGAGAUACGGCCCAGACUCCUACGGGAGGCAGCAGUGGGGAAUAUUGCACAAUGGGCGCAAGCCUGAUGCAGCGACGCCGCGUGGGGGAUGACGGCCUUCGGGUUGUAAACCUCUUUCACCAUCGACGAAGGUCCGGGUUUUCUCGGAUUGACGGUAGGUGGAGAAGAAGCACCGGCCAACUACGUGCCAGCAGCCGCGGUAAUACGUAGGGUGCGAGCGUUGUCCGGAAUUACUGGGCGUAAAGAGCUCGUAGGUGGUUUGUCGCGUUGUUCGUGAAAUCUCACGGCUUAACUGUGAGCGUGCGGGCGAUACGGGCAGACUAGAGUACUGCAGGGGAGACUGGAAUUCCUGGUGUAGCGGUGGAAUGCGCAGAUAUCAGGAGGAACACCGGUGGCGAAGGCGGGUCUCUGGGCAGUAACUGACGCUGAGGAGCGAAAGCGUGGGGAGCGAACAGGAUUAGAUACCCUGGUAGUCCACGCCGUAAACGGUGGGUACUAGGUGUGGGUUUCCUUCCUUGGGAUCCGUGCCGUAGCUAACGCAUUAAGUACCCCGCCUGGGGAGUACGGCCGCAAGGCUAAACUCAAGGAAUUGACGGGGGCCCGCACAAGCGGCGAGCAUGUGGAUUAUUCGAUGCAACGCGAAGAACCUUACCUGGGUUUGACAUGCACAGGACGCG
rnacentral:rRNA from 1 species